GUGGGGAAUAUUGGACAAUGGGCGAAAGCCUGAUCCAGCCAUGCCGCGUGAACGAUGAAGGCCUUCGGGUUGUAAAGUUCUUUAGCCGAUGAUUAUAACGACUGUAGUCGGAAAAUAAGCCCCGGCUAACUUCGUGCCAGCAGCCGCGGUAAUACGAAGGGGGCGAGCGUUAUUCGGAAUCACUGGGCGUAAAGCGUGCGUAGGCGGUUUUGUAAGUUAGGAGUGAAAGCCCAGGGCUCAACCUUGGAAUUGCUCUUAAAACUGCAAGGCUCGAAUCUCGGAGAGGAUAGCGGAAUUUCCAGUGUAGCAGUGAAAUGCGUAGAUAUUGGAAGGAACACCAGUGGCGUAAGCGGCUAUCUGGACGAGUAUUGACGCUGAGGCACGAAAGCGUGGGGAUCAAACAGGAUUAGAAACCCGGGUAGUCC
rnacentral:rRNA from 1 species